UACGGAGGGUGCAAGCGUUGCUCGGAAUUAUUGGGCGUAAAGGGUAGGUAGGUGGUCUUAUUUGUCCGGGGUGAAAUCCUUGAGCUUAACUCAAGAAGUGCCUCGGAAACGGUGAGACUAGAGUCUUGGAGAGGGUCGUGGAAUUCCCGGUGUAGCGGUGAAAUGCGUAGAUAUCUGGAGGAAUACCGGUGGCGAAGGCGGCAUCCUGGACCAUUACUGACACUGAACCGCGAAAGCUAGGGGAGCAAACGGG
rnacentral:rRNA from 1 species